UACGUAGGGGGCUAGCGUUGUCCGGAAUCAUUGGGCGUAAAGCGCGUGUAGGCGGUUCGGUAAGUCCGCUGUGAAAGUCGGGGGCUCAACCCUCGAAUGCCGGUGGAUACUGUCGGACUAGAGUACGGAAGAGGCGAGUGGAAUUCCUGGUGUAGCGGCGAAAUGCGCAGAUAUCAGGAGGAACACCAAUUGCGAAGGCAGCUCGCUGGGACGUUACUGACGCUGAGACGCGAAAGCGUGGGGAGCAAACAGG
rnacentral:rRNA from 1 species